rnacentral:rRNA from 1 species
GUGGCAGCAGCCGCGGUAAAACCAGCACCUCAAGUGGUCAGGAUGAUUAUUGGGCCUAAAGCAUCCGUAGCCGGCUUUGUUAGUUUUCGGUUAAAUCUAUAUGCUCAACAUAUAGGCUGCCGGGAAUACUACAAAGCUAGGGAGUGGGAGAGGUAGACGGUACUCCGUAGGAAGGGGUAAAAUCCUUUGAUCUAUGGAUGACCACCUGUGGCGAAGGCGGUCUACCAGAACAUGUCCGACGGUGAGGGAUGAAAGCUNGGGGAGCAAACCGGAUUAGAUACCCGGGUAGUCCCAGCUGUAAACUAUGCAAACUCAGUGAUGCAUUGGCUUGUGGCCAGUGCAGUGCCGCAGGGAAGCCGUUAAGUUUGCCGCCUGGGAAGUACGUACGCAAGUACGAAACUUAAAGGAAUUGGCGGGGGAGCACCACAAGGGGUGAAGCCUGCGGUUCAAUUGGAGUCAACGCCAGAAAUCUUACCCGGAGAGACAGCAGGAUGAAGGUCAAGCUGAAGACUUUACCAGACAAGCUGAGAAGUGGUGCAUGGCCGUCGCCAGCUCGUGCCGUGAGAUGUCCUGUUAAGUCAGGUAACGAGCGAGAUCCUUGCCUCUAGUUGCCACCAUUACUCUCAGGAGUAGUGGGGCGAAUUAGCGGGACUGCCGUAGUUAAUACGGAGGAAGGAGAGGGCCACGGCAGGUCAGUAUGCCCUGAAACUCUGGGGCCACACGCGGGCUGCAAUGGUAGUGACAAUGUGUUCCGAAUCCGAAAGGAGGAGGUAAUCCAAAAACGCUACCACAGUUAUGACUGAGGGCUGCAACUCGCCCUCACGAAUAUGGAAUCCCUAGUAACUGCGUGUCAUUAUCGCGCGGUGAAUACGUCCCUGCUCCUUGCACACACCGCCCGUC